AGGAUGGCUUCAACAAGAUUCAUGAUUUGGAGAGUUCACUUGCUUCGUUUCCUAUCAAACCAUUGCAAGCACUGAAGUAAUGAUUAGUUAUUUUCUUCUCAUCUUCAGUUGCCAAGACUUCAUCAAUAUCAUUAACUGUCUUCUAGGAGUAGUUUUGAUAUUACUGAGGAUGAUGAGGGUACAACUAGUCCUAGUUGGAAGGUUACUGGUCAAUUAGAUAUUGAGCAAUAGUUUCUUACACAGACUUACCAGGGGCCUUGGACCAAGAAACUGGAAGGAGUGACGGUGAGAAUUCGGGGAAAACUAUCUCUUGACCACGUCAUGCCAUCUCUGAGGAAUUCUCUACAGCCAAAAAAAUAAUCCAAGUGGAACUACAGUGGCCCAUUGUUGUAUUGCCAAAGGAGAGAGGCAAAUCAUUUUCAGCAGAGGAUAAAUCAGGAGCAGUGGUCCAACACAAGGGGACCGUU